GAUGAGACAAGGUUCAAGGUUCCCUGGCCUCCAAGAGUGGCUGAAGCCUCCAGACAGACUCGUUCUUCACUGGGAUAGGCUGGCCAAAUGGGACAGGCAAUGACAUCAAAACAGGACGGGGUCUCCCACGUGUUAGGCUUCCUCCCUUCCUCUCCAAGCCUGAAACUGCAGUAUGCUGUGUGUGGUGGUAGCCUUGGCUGUUAAGCAGAGCUGAACAUUUAAGAGGCAUUUUCUGGAAAGCUUGCCGGGUCUGUGCACAGUCAGCAGCCCUGCUCCUUUGCCCUGCUGUAUAGUAUUCAAGUGGGGAUGUUCACAGAUUACCCAGUCCUCUAAAGAUGACACCUGGGUUGCCUCCAGGCUUCUGCUCCUACAAGCGAUGCUGCCAUGAAUAACUGCUCACGUACAUCCUUCCAUACG